rnacentral:rRNA from 1 species
AACGUAGGUGGCGAGCGUUAUCCGGAUUUACUGGGCGUAAAGCGUGCGCAGGCGGUUUUGUAAGCCAGGUGUGAAAUCCCCGGGCUCAACCUGGGAAUGGCAUUUGGGACUGCAAGGCUGGAGUGUGGCAGAGGAGACUGGAAUUCCUGGUGUAGCAGUGAAAUGCGUAGAUAUCAGGAGGAAUACCGAUGGCGAAGGCAGGUCUCUGGGCUGACACUGACGCUCAUGCACGAAAGCGUGGGGAGCAAACAGG